rnacentral:rRNA from 1 species
UACGAAGGGGGGCUAGCGUUGCUCGGAAUCACUGGGCGUAAAGGGUGCGUAGGCGGGUUUUUAAGUCAGAGGUGAAAUCCUGGAGCUCAACUCCAGAACUGCCUUUGAUACUGAGAAUCUUGAGUUCGGGAGAGGUGAGUGGAACUGCGAGUGUAGAGGUGAAAUUCGUAGAUAUUCGCAAGAACACCAGUGGCGAAGGCGGCUCACUGGCCC